UUUAAAUGCGCACGGGUGUUGCCGCUUGGGUGGGCGGUAUCAUCAAAAACUUCGGCUCUGUGGGCCAAUUUUGGUAAGCAGAACUGGCGAUACGGGAUGAACCGAAAGUGUGGUUAAGGCGCCAAAUUAUCCGCUUAUAGACCCCAAAAAAGGUGUUGAUUCAUCGAGACAGCAGGACGGUGGCCAUGGAAGUCGGAAUCCGCUAAGGAGUGUGUAACAACUCACCUGCCGAAUGAAUUAGCCCUGAAAAUGGAUGGCGCUGAAGCGGGUAGCCGAAACCACGCCGUCUGGGCUAGUUAAGCCUUCAGAUGAGUAGGAGGAACCUGUCGGUCGUAUCGAAGCGUGUGUGCAAGCAUGCGUGGAACGGCCGAUAAUGCAGAUCUUGGUGUCAGUAGCAAAUAUUCAAAUGAGAACCUUGAAGGGCGAAGCGGGGAAGGGUUCCACGCGAACAUUGAUUGAGCGUGGGUGAGUCGUUCCUAAGCCGCGUGGCAAUAGCUAAUUAUCGGCGAAAGGGAAGCAGGUUGAUAUUCCUGCACACGGAUGUGGAUGCGGUGACGCACUUAACUGGGGCAGUGAAGCUGGCGGUAGCUCUGGGCAGAGUUUUCUUUUCUGUUUAACCGUACCGCGCGCGCUGUGUGGAAUCCGCUUGUCGGGAGAAACACGCGUGAACGGGCAUAGCGCCGGGAUUUUUCCGGCGUCCAGAUCGCUACCGACGGACCUUGAAAAACUGCUUGCUGGCGUAGUAUACAUGAAUUUUAUUUGUGUGUAUUGCGUAAAAGAAAUCCACGCCGUGACGUACCCAUAACCGCAUCAGGUCCCCAAGGUGAACAGCCUCUGCUCGAUAUGGAAAAUGCAGGUAAGGGAAGUCGGCAAAUUGGACCCGUAACUUUGGGAAAAGGGUUGGCUCUAGUGCUGCGUGGGAGUGGUUGUCUUGUGGUGGGGGUGAACUUGCUGGCUUUGCUGCGGCGGACUCUUGUGCGUUUUUGAGAGGAGAGGGAGGGGAGUAGGGGAGGCGGAGUCAAUUUUUUUGGCGCCAAAUUUCUUGCUUCCUUUUUUUUCAUUUUCUUGGCGUGCUGUUCGUUGUGGUGGGGCUGUGUGGGGGCACUUCUGCUCUUGAUGACGCCCACAGCAUGCGGCAAACUAGAACUGAAACGGUCAAAGGGAAUCCGACUGUUUAA
rnacentral:rRNA from 1 species